UGUAAUCAGCUUUUGAAUAUGGGUAGGUUUCUGCAAAAACACCACAUUUUGAGCAAAAAGCAGAGAUUAUUCUAUUUUUGUGACAGACUUUUCAUAGAGAUCCCAUUCAGAGUGAUCUUUAAAACAGACACGGACAUGCAGCAGCUUGCCAUAGAGCAAUACUUCCGGGUUUAAAAAGUUGCGGCACCUGGUGGAUAAUAACGGUAUUGCGGAAAGACGGAAAAUCUCGUCAUUGGCAGGGAAGCGUUUUCUCUUAAUUGACGAGAUAUCUCGUCAAUGGCUGUGAAAGAGUUAAGGCAGUUCUGAAGGCGAAAGGGGGUCAAACACAGUAUUAGUAUGGUGUUCCUAAUAAUCCUUUAGGUGAGUGUAUGUGACCCUGUCUGUAAAAUCCAAGGCUAAAGUGUCAUAAUGUUAUUUUGAGAUUUGGAGCAUCAAAGUUUGAUUUCAAUCACUGAGCUGGGUUUUCACAUGCAGGGUCGCAUAUUGUCUAUAUAGUGCAUGGACGUAUGAUCUGUUUAAUAGCACUUUUUUGUAUCUUUAGGAGUCUUCACAUCUAUAUAUGGAUAAAGAAGAGUGCAAUGUCUUGUAUACUGUAUGCAAACAUUUGGCAUUGCGUUCUGUUCCAGGUGGAUAAGGGAGAUUUAGUAGGGUUGACUGGUUCAGUGCUCGGACUAUACCAGAUGUGAUGAUUGAAUCAGACACGCUGUCAAAGCUGAUGCCAAGCCUGUGAUGUCGUCUGGUCCUCGGGCAGCAGGUGUAUCUCGGCACACCUGGAGACCUCCGGGUCACAUGAAGGGUGGCUGCGCAGACCCCAGCCGCUCCCCGCCGUUUGAUGUGCGCUGCUGUCUUGUCACUGAUUACGAUUCACAUCUGCAAAAAGACAGAAAGGAAGGAAGACAGGCCGUUAAAAGAUACGAGCAGGAUGCCAUUGGAGACCGAAGAGUGCGGGUUUAUUUACUGUCCUACAUCUCUUGUUUCCAGCUAUGUUCAACGAGCAACUUCAUAAUUGUUUCGCAGUAAUUAAGGAGAGGACAGGAAAGUACGGGGAGGAGAGAGGGGUAUGGGAUGGGCAAAUGACCACGAGCCGGGAAUCAAACUCGGGUCGCUGGAAAUGCGAAAGCACCACAUGUCGGAACGCUACCCACUACACCAUCAGCUCCGACUAUUUUACACACAUUUUAUACACACAAAUAUUUUUGCGGUAUGGGUUAAAAUUAAAUUUAAAAAAUUAUUUGUUGUCCCUAAAAUAGCCUACAUUUUUAAAUAUUUGUUAAUAUUAAUGAUGGUUAAAAUGAAAUAUAUUUUCAAACUCCAAAAUAUAUUUAAUUAAGCUUUCUACAAAAUGUAUUUAGCAUAAACAUAUUUUGGCCAGAGAAAUUAAUUUUUUGGAAUGUGGGAAGUGGCAAAUGCAUAAAUGUGAAUGUAAACUUUAAAAAAUGCGUUUUAAAGUGCUAGUUUUUAAAAGUGGCAGCUUCUUUGUUUCCAUGUAAACGAUAAAGGCUGGGUCCCAAAUGGCGCAUUCUAGUGGCUGUCGCAUGCACGUGUCCUUGUAGUCAACAAGACCGUACAGUGUCCCAUUUGUCAUUUUAAGUUUAAAAAGGGUGCACAUUUUUCCUUAGCCCGCACCAGGACUUCUUCCCAUUAGUUGCAUUACGUCAUGAAAGUGCAGACUUGAAGGAAGACCAGAGUGUUUAGGGUGCCAUUUGGGACAGGGCCAAAUUGGCAAAUUCGUAAAAAUCGUGACGUCACGUGUACUAUGUUUUCAUACAUCGUGUGACUUCGCCAACUAGUGGUCUGGCAUGCAUAAUACAGCGUUUUUAUUCGUUUUUGCAGAUCUGUGUAAAAGGGGAUCACUUGUACUGAUCUCCAGUGCACCUAAAAAACAAACCCAGUGUCACGGAGUUGCGAAGUGUGAAAAUCGCGCAAUACAUACAUCAAAUUCCAAUUUGGCGUGCAUAUGAUAAGUCAGUCCUCCAUUCACUUAAAUGGCGCAUC